AAAACCGUACUUACACAGGAUCAUUUCUAUAGUACUUUCUUUUCUACUUGACUUUCCAAGCUAGAUAAUCUCAUUGACUUUGAUGACCGCAUUCGACUUUAUUCGUUGACUCAGGAUGUCGGUGGUUGUAGUGGUGGGUUCGCUUUUGGACUUGGCCUCCCCCAUUGAUGAACGUCCGCUGUCGCUAUUCCAAGGCAGCGUGGGUGAGUGAUAUGAGAAGU
rnacentral:snoRNA from 1 species